UACAGAGGUGGCGAGCGUUGUUCGGAUUUACUGGGCGUAAAGGGUGCGUAGGCGGCAUGGCGUGUCGGAUGUGAAAGCCCACAGCUCAACUGUGGAACGGCAUCCGAAACUGCUGUGCUAGAGUACGGGAGAGGAGAGUGGAAUUCUCGGUGUAGCGGUGAAAUGCGUAGAUAUCGAGAGGAACACCGGCUGCGAAAGCGGCUCUCUGGAACGAUACUGACGCUGAGGCACGAAAGCUGGGGUAGCAAAAAGG
rnacentral:rRNA from 1 species